CCGGUCCCUUCCUCUCUUCCCAACUCUCUCGUUCGCGACGGGCCGCGCCCCCACUCUCGCCUCCUCGCGAUUGCGCGACUGUUUCCUCCUCUCCCCGUUUCUCGAUUCGCUUCGAAUCGCGUCUGAUUUGAGUUCGUUGACUCGCCGUCGCCGUUGCCUUGCCGUGUUCGCAGGGUAUGCGAGUCCGGCCCGGCCUCCUCCGCCUCCGUGCGAGCUCGGGAAGCGAUCGAUCGACCGAGGAAUUCAUCCGUUUGGGACCUCCAUCUGGUUUGCGGAUCCUCCUCAGAAUCUGUUUUGUGUGCUUGCAACUGUGGAUCCCGUGUUCCUCGUCGUGUUCGCGUCCCCGCGCGUUGGUUGCAUGCAGGAUCGUCGAGCCAGGUUUUUGGAAUUGGAGCUCUGAUAUGGAGCCGGAGGCCGAGGCAAGGUCAGUUUCCCGUGCGAGUUCAGAUCGCUUCCUCUGCGUUCGUCCGUGAUGCCAGAUUUCAAUCAAAUGGAUACAUGGCCCGUGUGAUCCUGUCGUUGCCCGAGCGCUGUGGUUUAUUUAUUCCCUAUCGUCCGUUAGUUCAAGGUGUAUCCAUUCGAGGCCUUCAAUUCGUGGAAGAUUCUCUUAUAUUGUGCCGGCUGAUCUCGGUUUUGGUAUGUCUUGUGCUCUCACCCUAGAUGCAGAGGAAGCCAGAGGGCGCGCUAGUUCUGCGGAGAUGGAGGUUACGGUUCAGCGGUUAUUGUCCUGAUAUGGCCAGAUCUUCUCGUAUCAUGAAGCCUGUGAUCUCUUACCAGCCUGAACCUGCGAUCUGCGUUUGGAUAAUAUAAAUGGAUCCCUCCCAAUUUUAGUUUCUUGGUCUGCACAGUAGUUAACGGCAUGCAAUUCUGAUCUGAAUUCUUUGCUUGUCCAGAAAUUAUAAAUUGGAUUACACGCCAUAGCGGGAGCAACAUCUGCGUUUGGAUGAUUAAUUACCCCCUCUAUUUAAUUCCUUCAUCUGCACAGUUCAAUCUCAGUCGGUUCUGAUUUAGGUUUGUUGAUGGUUGUCCAGAAAUUGGGAUUAUAUGGCUUACCGGGAGCGACUUGUCAUUCUUCCUCACCUGUGUUUGGAUGAUCAUUCUCUCUUUGUUUAUUUCCUUUUCUUCACAGUUCAAUUACUCCCCAUACAAUUCUGAUUUGGAUCUGUUGCUCGUACUCCAGAAAAUUGGAUUAUAUGGCUUAACGGGUGGUCCUAUUUUCCCUCGGCAUGUCGGUUCUUUUUCUGUGGCUCAACAAUUUUUCUUACUCAUCAGUAAUAUAGUUAUUAAAGCACACCAGACAAGUUCUCUAUGCCUUAGUUUAUCGUUUGUCAUUUGUUAGCUAUUGCAGACACCGUCUUGGAACGGAUAUAGUUGGAACCGGUGCUAUCUACCUGACCUUCCCAGACGAACUUUCUUAUAACUUCUACCUCCUCCUCAUUUGAAGCAUGCUUUAGCUGAGCCUAGUUUCCCCCUAAUUUACAGAAAAGUAUCUUGCUCGUUGCAGGUUUGAGGAAUGCAAAGUCCAACCUGAUGCUGAGUUGAAUCUGUUUGCAGUUUUUUUCUAAUUCUGAUCUCUAAUCAAUUCAUCAUUACUCAGAUAACCUUUAAGAUCUUCUCACUAGGCAAUAUUUUAAAUUCAGAUUUAUCUGGGAAGGUGCAAGAAUGGAGCUUCAAACUUGGCAAAUCCUACAAUAAAAAAGAGACUCCUCCAUUUUUAACUUCGCCUCUUAUUUUUAUAUCACGUAGCUACUUGUUCAUGCCUUUGAUUUAGGCUUUUUUGCUUCUCCCCCCCUUGUGAUUGCAGAUUUAUUUUAGCCCAGAGCGUGCUGGUAGCAAUUCAAAAUCUGUUAAAAUCAUUUGGUUUGCAAUCUAUCUCUAUAUGGGUCGAUUUGUUCUCUGUACUCUUAUCCUGUAGGAAGUUUGGGCCUAUGGGCAAAUCUCUGUACAAUGAAUCAGGUCAGUGUUGUAUCAACGGUUUGUUUGGUUUAGUUGUUUGCCUCCCUCCACACAUUGGUUGCAGGACUGGAUCUGGAAUGUGGAGAUCCCUGUGGUGUUGUAUGUCGAAGGGGAUUGAGGCAGGUCAGAUUUGAAUCGUGCGGUCGUGUGGUUCUCAUCAUGUGUUCCAUCAUCAUCAGCUAAUAUGAGGUGGAUUUGAGGUCCUGGCGGACUCUUAUUGUAGCAACUGAUCGUUUGGUGUGUGUUUGUGCUCUUUUGCUUGCAGCAGGAGGGUAGUAGUUCUGCAUAGAUGAAUCAUAGGGUGGAGAUUUGGUCUCUGUUCAUCAUUUUGAUUGAUUGGAUUAUCAAGCUUUGGAUCUCUUACCAACCUGAACUUCUGAUCUGCGUUUGGAUAAUAAAUUCCGCCCCGGUUCAAUUUAUUUGGUUUGCAAAAUACAAUUUAGUCCUUGGCAGUUCUGAUCUAUAUUUGUGGUUUUCCAGAGAUGGGGUUAAUUGGUGGAUAUUUGGUUUCUGUUCAUCACUUUGACUGAUUGGAUUGGAACCUGGUACUUGCGAUCUGCGUUUGGUUAAUGAAUUCUGUCCAGAUUCAAUUUAUUUGGUUUGCACAGUACAAUUAGUCCUUGGCAGUUUUGAUCUGUAUUUGUUAUUUGUUUGUGGUUUUCCAAAAAUUGGGCUUUAGCAGGAGCAACCUAUCUUCUUGUUGAUCUGUAAUUGGAUGAUUAUGAACCCCUCUAUUUAAUCCACAAUUCAAUUUUAGUCCCUGACAAUUCUGAUUUGGAUCUGUUAAUGGUUGUCCAGAAAUUGGGAUUAUGGCUUAGCGGGAGUGACCUAUCUUCUUGCUGACCUGUGUUUGGAUGAUCAUUACUCUCUGCUUAAUUUCUUCUCCACAGCUCAAUUAGUUAUCCGACAAUUCUGAUUUAGAUUUGUUGCUGGUUCUCCAGAAAUUGAACAUAUACGGCUUAGCGGGUGAUCCUAUGUUUCCUCGGCAUGGCGGUUCUUCCUGUGGCCCAAACAUAUCUGACCUUUUGUCCUCCCUUGAUUAUUGAAUUUCCUAGACAUUACUUUCUUUGCCUUAGUUGGUAAUUCUUAGCUCCUGCAGAUGCUGGCCUGGAAGCGAAAUAAUUGGAACCAGUGUUGUCCAGAAAUUGGGAUUAUGGCUUAGCGGGAGUGACCUAUCUUCUUGCUGACCUGUCUUUGGAUGAUCAUUACUCUCUGCUUAAUUUCUUCUCCACAGCUCAAUUAGUUAUCCGACAAUUCUGAUUUAGAUUUGUUGCUGGUUCUCCAGAAAUUGGACAUAUACGGCUUAGCGGGUGAUCCUAUGUUUCCUCAGCAUGGCGGUUCUUCCUGUGGCCCAAACAUAUCUGACCUUUUGUCCUCCCUUGAUUAUUGAAUUUCCUAGACAUUACUUUCUUUGCCUUAGUUGGUAAUUCUUUAGCUCCUGCAGAUGCUGGCCUGGAAGUGAAAUAAUUGGAACCAGUGUUGUCUAUCUGACCUUCGCGGCCGAGACAGGCUUACUUGCCCUUUACCUCUUAACCUUAACAUUUGAUGCAUGCUUUAGCUGAGCCUAGUUUUCCUGUUAACUUAUAGAAAGGUAUCUUCCUCGUUGCAGGUUGUAGUUGAUGAACUCAAGUCCAACCUGGUGCUGAGUUGAAUCUGUUUGCAGUUCUUCUAAAUCUACUAUUUUCUCAAGUCAUCAUAACUUAGACAACCUUUAGAAUUAUCUUACCAGGAAAUAUUUUGAAUACAGAUCUGCAAAGGUUCAACAAUGGAGAUUCAAACUAAUGGAACAUCCUACAAUGAAAAGACUAUUUUUAACCCACCUCUUAUAUUUUGUUUCACGUAGCUACUUGUUUAUGCCUUUAAUUUAGGUUUUUCUUUCUACCCUCCCUUUGGUUGCAGAUUAAGCCCAAACCAUGCUGGUAGUGAAUCGGAAUCUCUGUUAAAAUCGUUUGGUUUGCAAUCUCUCUCUCUCUCUGGAUCGAUUUGUUGUUUGUACUCUUGAUCCCCGUGCUGGCCUUCUGCGUGUAUCAGUUGCAGGAUAUAUUUAGGGAGUCUGGGCCUAUGUGCAGGAUAUAUUUGGAUAUGUUGGUGGUUCUCCAGAAAUUGGAAUUAUAUGGCUUAGCGGGAGCGACGCAUCUUGCUGCUCUAUGUUUGGAUAAUUAUCACUCUCUGUUUUACUCUUUCGUCUCCACUGUUCUGUUUUGGUUUCCCACAAUUCUGAUUUAUACUAUUUCUUGGUGGCUCUCCAGAAAUUGGAAUAAUAUGGAUUAGAAGGCGGUCCUAUUUUGCCUCGGCAUGGCAGUUCCUUCUAUGACUAAAAACUUUUUCAACCUUUUUUACUCUAUAAUUGAACUCUCUAGACAUUAGGUUUUCUUUGCCUUAGUACUUAUCAGCUCUUGCAGAUACUGACUUGGAAAGGAUAUAACUGCAGUUUGGAACCGGCGUUGUUGUCCUCCAUCAUCCAUACCUGACCCUAGACAGGCUUUACUUGUUCCCACUCAAUCAUCCAUGCUUUAGCUAUUUAUAAGCAGCAUUUCCCCUAACAAUUUUUUUAUAGAAACGGUCUCUUGCUCGCUGCAGGUUGUAGUUGACAAACUCCUGUCCAGCCUGAUGAUGAAUCCAUCUACUGAUCUUCGAAGUCUACAGUGUCGUUUCAAUUCAUUGCAACUUACAUAAUCUAUAAAUUAUCUUACUAGACAAUAUUUUAAAUACAGAUUCAUAUGCAGCACGAAUAUAUAGGAUGAUCCAGAGAUUUCAACUAAUGGUUCAUCCUACAACCGAAAAAGACUCUUACCUUCCUUUUUUUAAAUUUCAUUUAGUUACUUGGCCAUCUCUCUGAUAUAGGUUUUUGCCCCUGCCCUUCCUAUGGUUGCAGAUUUUUCUUUAGCCCAGGCCAUGUGGGCGAUGACUAACUCUUGAUCCCUGUGUUUUAUUGGUCUUCUGCGUGUGUGGGUUGGCAAUAUAUAAUUUUUAUUAGGAGUUUGGGCCCAAACCUUUGCUCUGUACAUGCAGUCAGGUCAGUGUCUCGUAGACGGUCUGUUUGUUUCAUGUGUUAUCGCCGCCUCUACAAUUUGGCUUGCAGGACUGGAUCUUGAUCUGGUCUGGAAGUAAAUCUCCAUGUGGGUUGUGAACGUAUGGUGAAGGGGACUCGAGGCAGGUCAGUUUCCCAUGUUUCGUCACAUUAGUUUACUGGAUUCCUCAUCUGUGCUUGGUGAUGUCAGAUUUGAGUGGCACAUUAAGUUCUUCGAUUUAUGUUCGUCUGAUGGCUGUUUGGGAUCUUCGUUUAGAAUCUUCUGCAACCACAAAAACUUACACUUGGACUCCAUGCCUGUUUCAACUGAUUUACCAGAUUUCACUAUGGUCUGACUUUCCUUUAAGAAACUUUAAGUAUGCUGAUUAUAUUUGGGCCGUUCAUUGAUUUGCAUUGUUGGAGGUUUUAUUGCAAGACUGUAGAGUUGGAUAGUCAGUUAGCGCGGGGACUUGGUGAAGCAAAUGGACUUUCCUGAUGGUUUUGACCUCUGAUUACUGAUCCUGAAGCAUAAUGAUUUGGUCUUUGUGAUGUUUUUCAGUUUGAACUUGCAUUCAGUGGCCUCAUAUCUUUGGUGCAGCUUGGAGUUGGUAGUGUGCACAUCUGAUGAUUCUUUCAACUGUCCUAAAGCAUCUUACCUGGUUUCUGUUGUGCCAUCCUGCUGGUUACGGUCUCUUAUUCAACUUGCAUGUGGUUUGGAUGGAAUAUGAUCUUAUCUUUUACUCGAAUCAAGAAAAUGCUAGAAGUCUCAAACAAGGGUCCAAAAUGGAAAUAUCAGUUCCUACUCAGUUUGUAUAGCAGAUUAUCGAAGUUUGACUUGGCUAUUAAUUACCUGGUUACCAUACUGUUUCAUGAAGUUUGGUUUUGGUAUUUGGCUGCUUGUAUCUUUCAACUUGCAAAUUUAUCACCCAAUAGGAAGUAAAGAUCAUAUGUACAUGAGCUCUGAAUGCAGUAAAAAUGUUAAAUCAUAUUAUAUGAAUAUAUGUGAAUUGGUCAUACUUGGAUUUA